GUGGGGAAUCUUGCGCAAUGGGCGAAAGCCUGACGCAGCCAUGCCGCGUGAAUGAUGAAGGUCUUAGGAUUGUAAAAUUCUUUCACCGGGGACGAUAAUGACGGUACCCGGAGAAGAAGCUCCGGCUAACUUCGUGCCAGCAGCCGCGGUAAUACGAAGGGGGCUAGCGUUUCUCGGAAUUACUGGGCGUAAAGGGCGCGUAGGCGGACAGCUUAGUCAGAGGUGAAAGCCCAGGGCUCAACCUUGGAAUUGCCUUUGAUACUGGCUGUCUUGAGUUUGGGAGAGGUGAGUGGAACUCCGAGUGUAGAGGUGAAAUUCGUAGAUAUUCGGAAGAACACCAGUGGCGAAGGCGACUCACUGGCCCAAUACUGACGCUGAGGCGCGAAAGCGUGGGGAGCAAACAGGAUUAGAAACCCGGGUAGUCC
rnacentral:rRNA from 1 species